GUGCUCCCUGUGGCAGCACAUAUCUAAAAUUGGAACGAUACCUUGCUUAUGGCUCCUGCGCAAGGAUGACACACAAAUCGUGAAGCGUUUCAUAUUUUG
rnacentral:snRNA from 1 species